rnacentral:rRNA from 1 species
GACGAACGCUGGCGGCGUGCUUAACACAUGCAAGUCGAACGGUGAAGCGCCUUCCUUUUUGGUGGGUGUGGAUGAGUGGCGAACGGGUGAGUAACACGUGAGUAACCUGCCCCCUUCUUCUGGAUAACCGCAUGAAAGUGUGGCUAAUACGGGAUAUUCUGGGUCUGUCGCAUGAUGGGUCUGGGACAGAUAUUGUUUCGGUGGGGGAUGGGCUCGCGGCCUAUCAGCUUGUUGGUGGGGUGAUGGCCUACCAAGGCGGUGACGGGUAGCCGGCCUGAGAGGGUGGACGGUCACACUGGGACUGAGACACGGCCCAGACUCCGACGGGAGGCAGCAGUGGGGAAUAUUGCACAAUGGGCGCAAGCCUGAUGCAGCGACGCCGCGGGAGGGAUGGAGGCCUUCGGGUUGUGAACCUCUUUCGCCAGUGAAGCAGGCCUGCCUCGUUUGUGGGUGGGUUGACGGUAGCUGGAUAAGAAGCGCCGGCUAACUACGUG